CAGCCGCCGCGGUAAUACCGGCGGCCCGAGUGGCGGUCACUAUUAUUGGGCUUAAAGCGUCCGUAGCCGGGUUGGGAAGUCCUCCGGGAAAUCUGGCCGCUUAACGGUCAGAAUGCCGGAGGAUACUCCCAGCCUAGGGAGCGGGAGAGGCCGAGGGGAUUCCCGGGGUAGGGGGGAAAUCCUAUAAUCCCGGGAGGACCACCUGUGGCGAAGGCGCUCGGCUGGAACGGGUCCGACGGUGAGGGACGAAGGCCAGGGGAGCAAACCGGAUUAGAUACCCGGGUAGUCCUGGCUGUAAACGAUGCGGACUUUGUGUCGGACAAGCUAUGAGCUUGUCCGGUGCCGGAGGGAAACCGUUAAGUCCGCCGCCUGGGGAGUACGGCCGCAAGGCUGAAACUUAAAGGAAUUGGCGGG
rnacentral:rRNA from 1 species